UACGUAGGGUGCGAGCGUUAAUCGGAAUUACUGGGCGUAAAGCGUGCGCAGGCGGUUUUGUAAGCCAGAUGUGAAAUCCCCGGGCUUAACCUGGGAAUGGCAUUUGGGACUGCAAGGCUGGAGUGCGGCAGAGGAGACUGGAAUUCCUGGUGUAGCAGUGAAAUGCGUAGAUAUCAGGAGGAAUACCGAUGGCGAAGGCAGGUCUCUGGGCUGACACUGACGCUCA
rnacentral:rRNA from 1 species